rnacentral:lncRNA from 1 species
UCGGUUAGCGAUGUGUGUUCGUUGAAUGGGCUCUGGAAUAUUUGGAAACUGACUCUAAUUUUUAUUGAAAAAUCAUCUUCAGCGAUGAGGUUCAUUUUUUUAAGAAAUCAUAACAGACACACUUAAACAUUUUUUGUUCUAGGAAUAAUAAGCGGACUAGUGGACGAGUUAAGAAAACAGCAAAUUUUAAAUACACACACCCUUACUAAAAUACCAUUAAAAGACGAGAGAGGAAAGACAAAGAGAAAAAGAUGUAGAUCCUGUUCAGCCAAGAACAUUAGAAAAAGAUCAUUAUGGAAUUAACAGAAAAGUUACGAAUGCAUGAGACCUUCAGUACCCACGUACCCGUGAAAAUACUCUCAAAAUCAAAAGAUGAGCGAAGGAAGAGAAAAAGGUGUCGAACAUGCUCGGCGAAGCAUAUUAGAAAACUUAGUAUUUAUGAAUGCGCUCAAUGUAUAGAAAAACCUGGGUUGUGUCCUGGAGCCUGCUUUUUUGAGUAUCAUAGGCAAAUAAUUGUAUAAUUUUUCAUUUAGUUUUGAAUAAAUUUAAGAAAUGGCUUC